UACGGGGGAUGCAAGCGUUAUCCGAAAUCAUUGGGCGUAAAGCGCCUGUAGGUUGUUUAUUAAGUCCGUUGUUAAAGCCUAGGGCUUAACCCUAGAGAAGCAAGGGAAACUAAUAGACUAGAGUAUGGUAGGGGUAGAGGGAAUUUCUAGUGUAGCGGUGAAAUGCGUAGAUAUUAGAAAGAACACCAGUGGCGAAAGCGCUCUACUGGGCCAUUACUGACACUCAGAGGCGAAAGCUAGGGUAGCAAAAGGGAUUAGAUACCCCUGUAGUCCUAGCCGUAAACGAUGGAUACUAGAUGUUGUGCAUAUUGUACAGUAUCGUAGCUAACGCGUUAAGUAUCCCGCCUGGGGAGUACGCUCGCAAGGGUG
rnacentral:rRNA from 1 species